rnacentral:sRNA from 1 species
AUCCCACAUCGGAGAACUUUAAGGAUCUAAUCUAGUAUAUAAGAAGCAUGAGUUAGUGCAUUAAUUAACAAUUGGCUUUUAGCAAGACAAUCAGCACGGACAUUGUUUAAACGUGGAAUAAAAGAUAAAGAAAAACGAGGAAAGCUAGACUUUAAAGAAUAAAAUUUUCUAACUCAGAAGAAAAAGCGGGUCACUCAUCAGAAGUGUCCAAAAGCUGUGUCAACUCCUUGCAAUCUGUCUCAAAACUAUAUAUUACAUGAUA